ensembl:piRNA 21ur-5025 ncRNA
CUGAAUUGGGAUGAUCGUAGU